rnacentral:tRNA from 1 species
UACGCAGAGGGUCUCAGGUUCGAUCCCUGAUGCGACCAGGUCGCAUAGUCUAGUGGUUAUGAUAUCUGCUUUACAGA